rnacentral:rRNA from 1 species
UCCUGGCUCAGAUUGAACGCUAGCGGGAUGCCUUACACAUGCAAGUCGAACGGCAGCUCGGACUUCGGUCUGGUGGCGAGUGGCGAACGGGUGAGUAAUGUAUCGGAACGUGCCUAGUAGCGGGGGAUAACUACGCGAAAGCGUGGCUAAUACCGCAUACGCCCUACGGGGGAAAGCAGGGGAUCGCAAGACCUUGCACUAUUAGAGCGGCCGAUAUCGGAUUAGCUAGUUGGUGGGGUAACGGCUCACCAAGGCGACGAUCCGUAGCUGGUUUGAGAGGACGACCAGCCACACUGGGACUGAGACACGGCCCAGACUCCUACGGGAGGCAGCAGUGGGGAAUUUUGGACAAUGGGGGAAACCCUGAUCCAGCCAUCCCGCGUGUGCGAUGAAGGCCUUCGGGUUGUAAAGCACUUUUGGCAGGAAAGAAACGUCAUGGGUUAAUACCCCGUGAAACUGACGGUACCUGCAGAAUAAGCACCGGCUAACUACGUGCCAGCAGCCGCGGUAAUACGUAGGAUGCAAGCGUUCAUCGGAAUUACUGGGCGUAUAGCGUGCGCAGGCUGUUCGGAAAGAAAGAUGUGAAAUCCCAGAGCUUAUCUUUGGAACUGUUUUUUUAACUACCGAGCUAGAGUGUGUCAGAGGGAGGAGUAAUUCCGCGUGUAGCGGAGAAAUGCGUAUAUAUGCGGAGGACACCGAUGGAAAAGGCAGUCUCGUGGGAUAACGCAGACGCUCAUGCACGACAGCGUCGAGAGCAUAGAGGAUUAAGACACGCUGGUACACCCGGCUAGAUGACGUCACUAUGGUGUGUGGUCUUCUCGCUCGUAUAGCAGUACACGCGAGAGAUGCGCCCGCGUGAGACGACUGCAGAUGAUAUAUCAGAGUAUCGAGGCAACUCAGGAGUGUGAUUGUUGUUUAUCAGUCGAGCGGAGCAUUACCUACCUAUACUGAUGUCUGUCAUACAAAUAAUGCGCGCGCGGAGAAACAGACAGUGUUGUGCGUCCUCUCUUGGGGGAGAUAGGCUAUUCUCGACGACGGUUUCUACCUAGAGACGUGCCCCAUAAAGGAGAGCGUGCA